UACGUAGGGUGCAAGCGUUGUCCGGAAUUAUUGGGCGUAAAGAGCUCGUAGGCGGCUUGUCACGUCGGCUGUGAAAACCUGGGGCUCAACCCCGGGCCUGCAGCCGAUACGGGCAAGCUAGAGUUCGGUAGGGGAGACUGGAAUUCCUGGUGUAGCGGUGAAAUGCGCAGAUAUCAGGAGGAACACCGGUGGCGAAGGCGGGUCUCUGGGCCGAUACUGACGCUGAGGAGAGAAAGCGUGGGGAGCGAACAGG
rnacentral:rRNA from 1 species